UACGUAGGGUCCGAGCGUUGUCCGGAAUUAUUGGGCGUAAAGAGCUCGUAGGCGGUUUGUCGCGUCUGCUGUGAAAUCCCGAGGCUCAACCUCGGGCCUGCAGUGGGUACGGGCAGACUAGAGUGCGGUAGGGGAGACUGGAAUUCCCGGUGUAGCGGUGAAAUGCGCAGAUAUCAGGAGGAACACCGGUGGCGAAGGCGGGUCUCUGGGCCGUAACUGACGCUGAGGAGCGAAAGCAUGGGGAGCGAACAGG
rnacentral:rRNA from 1 species